rnacentral:rRNA from 1 species
UACGUAGGUGGCAAGCGUUGUCCGGAUUUACUGGGUGUAAAGGGCGUGUAGGCGGAGCUGCAAGUCAGAUGUGAAAUCCCGGGGCUCAACCCCGGAACUGCAUUUGAAACUGUAGCCCUUGAGUAUCGGAGAGGCAGGCGGAAUUCCUAGUGUAGCGGUGAAAUGCGUAGAUAUUAGGAGGAACACCAGUGGCGAAGGCGGUCUGCUGGACAGCAACUGACGCUGAGGCGCGAAAGCGUGGGGAGCAAACAGG